rnacentral:rRNA from 1 species
AUCUACAGCUAUACCACCCUGAAUGUGCCCAACCUCAUCUGAUCUUGGAAGCUAAGCAGGUUUGAGUCUGGUUAGUUCUUGGAUGGGAGAUCACCUGGGAAUACCAUGUGCUAUAGGCU